rnacentral:rRNA from 1 species
GUCUAUGGCCAUGCUACCCUGAACAAGCCCGAUCCCAUCUGAUCUCAGAAGUUAAGCAGGGUCAGGCCUGGUUAGUACUUGGAUGGGAGACCAGCUAGGGAGGCCAGGUGCUGUAGGCA